rnacentral:rRNA from 1 species
UACGAAGGGGGCUAGCGUUGCUCGGAAUCACUGGGCGUAAAGGGUGCGUAGGCGGGUCUUUAAGUCAGGGGUGAAAUCCUGGAGCUCAACUCCAGAACUGCCUUUGAUACUGAAGAUCUUGAGUUCGGGAGAGGUGAGUGGAACUGCGAGUGUAGAGGUGAAAUUCGUAGAUAUUCGCAAGAACACCAGUGGCGAAGGCGGCUCACUGGCCCGAUACUGACGCUGAGGCACGAAAGCGAUGGGAGG